CUGCACGAAUGGCGUAACGACUUCUCUACUGUCUCCACCAUGAGCUCGGCGAAAUUGCACUACGAGUAAAGAUGCUCGUUACGCGCAGAAGGACGGAAAGACCCCGGGACCUUUACUACAGCUUGGUAUUGGCGCCCGCCCUGGCUUGUGCAGGAUAGGUGGGAGACCGUGAAACCGCCACGCCAGUGGUGGUGGAGUCGUCGUUGAAAUACCACUCUGGCCAUGGCGUGCGCCUGAACCUCGGCCCGUGACCCGGGCCAGGGACAGUGCCUGGUGGGUAGUUUAACUGGGGCGGUUGCCUCCUAAAAAGUAACGGAGGCGCUCAAAGGUCCCCUCAGCCUGGUCGGCAACCAGGUGUCGAGUGCAAGUGCACAAGGGGGCUUGACUGCGAGACCGACAGGUCAAGCAGGUGCGAAAGCAGGAACUAGUGAUCCGGCGAUCCCGAGUGGGUGGGUCGUCGCUCAACGGAUAAAAGGUACCCCGGGGAUAACAGGCUGAUCCUGCCCAAGAGUCCAUAUCGACGGCAUGGUUUGGCACCUCGAUGUCGGCUCGUCGCAUCCUGGGGCUGGAGCAGGUCCCAAGGGUUGGGCUGUUCGCCCAUUAAAGCGGUACGCGAGCUGGGUUUAGAACGUCGUGAGACAGUUCGGUCCCUAUCCUCUGCGCGCGCAGGAUACUUGAGAAGACCUGUCCCUAGUACGAGAGGA
rnacentral:rRNA from 1 species